rnacentral:tRNA from 1 species
GGGCCGCUAGCUCAGCUGGGAGAGCGCUGCGUUCGCAACGCAGAGGUCGCGAGUUCGAUCCUCGCGCGGUCCACCA